rnacentral:rRNA from 1 species
UUGGAGGGCAAGUCUGGUGCCAGCAGCCGCGGUAAUUCCAGCUCCAAUAGCGUAUAUUAAAGUUGUUGCAGUUAAAAAGCUCGUAGUUGAAUUUCGGGACCAAUUUGUUGGUCGUGCCUCGGUACGUACUGGUAUUAUUGGUUUCUCCCUUCUGAAGAACCAUGAUGCCAUUAAUUUGGUGUCGUGGGGAAUCAGGACUGUUACUUUGAAAAAAUUAGAGUGUUUAAAGCAGGCAUACGCUUGAAUACAUUAGCAUGGAAUAGUGAAAUAGGACGUUUGAUUCUAUUUUGUUGGUUUCUAGGAUCGACGUAAUGAUUAAUAGGGAUAGUUGGGGGCAUUAGUAUUGAAUUGUCAGAGGUGAAAUUCUUGGAUUUAUUGAAGACUAACUACUGCGAAAGCAUUUGCCAAGGAUGUUUUCAUUAAUCAAGAACGAAAGUUAGGGGAUCGAAGACGAUCAGAUACCGUCGUAGUCUUAACCAUAAACUAUGCCGACUAGGGAUCGGAUGAUGUUAAUUUUUUAAUGACUCAUUCGGCGCCUUACGGGAAACCAAAGUGUUUGGGUUC